CCAAGUAGUCGGGCAAACCCGGGAACUGGGUAUAAUACCCGAUAGAUCUCGGCUGCUGGAAUGCAUCGAGCUCUAAAGCUCCGGCGCCUGAGGAUGGGUCUGCGGCCUAUCAGGUAGUAGUGGGUGUAGCGUACCUACUAGCCUACGACGGGUACGGGUUGUGAGAGCAAGAGCCCGGAGAUGGAUUCUGAGACACGAAUCCAGGCCCUACGGGGUGCAGCAGGCGCGAAAACUUUACAAUGCCGGCAACGGCGAUAAGGGGACCUCGAGUGCCAGGUUACAAAUCUGGCUGUCGUGAUGCCUAAAAAGCAUUGCAUAGCAAGGGCCGGGCAAGACCGGUGCCAGCCGCCGCGGUAACACCGGCGGCUCGAGUGGUAACCGUUAUUAUUGGGUCUAAAGGGUCUGUAGCCGGCCGGAUAAGUCUCUUGGGAAAUCCAGCAGCUUAACUGUUGGGCUUUCAGGAGAUACUGUCUGGCUCGAGGCCGGGAGAGGUGAGAGGUACUUCAGGGGUAGGGGUGAAAUCUUGUAAUCCUUGAAGGACCACCAGUGGCGAAGGCGUCUCACCAGAACGGACCUGACGGCAAGGGACGAAAGCUAGGGGCACGAACCGGAUUAGAUACCCGGGUAGUCCUAGCCGCAAACGAUACUCGCUAGGUGUCGGCCACGGUGCGACCGUUGUCGGUGCCGUAGGGAAGCCGUGAAGCGAGCCACCUGGGAAGUACGGCCGCAAGGCUGAAACUUAAAGGAAUUGGCGGGGGAGCAC
rnacentral:rRNA from 1 species